rnacentral:lncRNA from 1 species
AUCUGAUAAAUUAAAUGGAGCUAUGGUUGAAUAAAAAUUUACAUAUUAUCAAUUAUGAUGUAUAAGUUAAUGUAUCCCAUUUUUUCAUCGACUCCGUCUGGGAGGGAUCCCAUUCAAAAAGGGAGGAAAUAAGUAAAUCCCCCUGAGGGGGACGAGGCCACAGGCCGAAGGGGGGUAGCUCUGUCAGAUCGUUAGCUCAUUCGCUCGUUGGCUUGUAGCCGACCCCUUUCGCUCCAGAUCUUUUUGAUAUGUCUCAGUCUCCGCGGCAAGGAAGAGAAAAUGCACUCUAGCAAUGGGCAGCUAGGCAAACGAAGAUUAUCUAAGGUUUCUCUUCUUUUUUUUUGAAGAUUUCUGAUACUUCAAAUGCUCGCAGAGAUGAUGAUGAUGGAGCUGCAUCCCGUCCCUGAUACUUUGUAGAUUGUUUUUUAUGGAGUUUGAUAUGUAAAAGUACAUUGUAAUUCAUAACUUUUUAUGUAAAUUUAUAUUUCGAAUGAUCUAAAUGUUUGUGUCAAUAUCAAUGUAAUUUGAAUGUUUG